UUGCUCUUGUUCCUCAGAUGGGUGGAGGAAAUGAUGAGAAAGCUCAGGUGAUCCAGACAUUACUGUUUGUGGCCGGCUUAAACACUCUGUUACAGACCUUGUUUGGAACUUGUUUACAAGGCCUUCUAGUGUUCCUGAAGGAGCUUAUGUUCAGUGGAAAAUUGAGCUACUUGGCUUUGAAAUGCCUAAGGUUCUUUUGAUAGAGGAAAUCUCUGGGUCUCUGCGUAAGCUGAAGACUGGGAGAAGCUGAGAAGGCAAUUCACCAUUACAAGCUAUCACGAAAGGAAACCAGCUCUAAUGACUUCUCACAAGUGCAUGCUCUCCAGACCCAUUUGGCCAAGUGUAAUGAAGCACGUAAGCAAAAGGAUUGGUUCACUGUGUUAAAGGAAUCACAGGCUGCUGUCUCUGCUGGUGCCGAUUCUGCACCACAGGUCUUUGCAUUGCAAGAGGAGGAGGCUCUUAAGCUCCUAAGGCAUGACGAUGCAGAUUCAGUGUUAAAUGGUGCCGCUAGGAAUGCAUACAUCCUCAUAAUCCGAGCACAGGUUGAUAUGGCUU